rnacentral:rRNA from 1 species
AUUGAACGCUGGCGGCAGGCCUAACACAUGCAAGUCGAGCGGAUGAAGGGAGCUUGCUCCUGGAUUCAGCGGCGGACGGGUGAGUAAUGCCUAGGAAUCUGCCUGGUAGUGGGGGAUAACGUCCGGAAACGGGCGCUAAUACCGCAUACGUCCUGAGGGAGAAAGUGGGGGAUCUUCGGACCUCACGCUAUCAGAUGAGCCUAGGUCGGAUUAGCUAGUUGGUGGGGUAAAGGCCUACCAAGGCGACGAUCCGUAACUGGUCUGAGAGGAUGAUCAGUCACAAUGGAACUGAGACACGGUCCAGACUCCUACGGGAGGCAGCAGUGGGGAAUAUUGGACCAUGGGCGAAAGCCUGAUCCAGCCAUGCCGCGUGUGUGAAGAAGGUCUUCGGAUUGUAAAGCACUUUAAGUUGGGAAGAAGGGCAGUAAGUUAAUACCUUGCUGUUUUGACGUUACCAACAGAAUAAGCACCGGCUAACUUCGUG